UUAAGCGACUAAGCGUACACGGUGGAUGCCCUGGCAGUCAGAGGCGAUGAAGGACGUGCUAAUCUGCGAUAAGCGUCGGUAAGGUGAUAUGAACCGUUAUAACCGGCGAUUUCCGAAUGGGGAAACCCAGUGUGAUUCGUCACACUAUCAUUAACUGAAUCCAUAGGUUAAUGAGGCGAACCGGGGGAACUGAAACAUCUAAGUACCCCGAGGAAAAGAAAUCAACCGAGAUUCCCCCAGUAGCGGCGAGCGAACGGGGAGGAGCCCAGAGCCUGAAUCAGUGUGUGUGUUAGUGGAAGCGUCUGGAAAGGCGCGCGAUACAGGGUGACAGCCCCGUACACAAAAAUGCACAUGCUGUGAGCUCGAUGAGUAGGGCGGGACACGUGGUAUCCUGUCUGAAUAUGGGGGGACCAUCCUCCAAGGCUAAACACUCCUGACUGACCGAUAGUGAACCAGUACCGUGAGGGAAAGGCGAAAAGAACCCCGGCGAGGGGAGUGAAAAAGAACCUGAAACCGUGUACGUACAAGCAGUGGGAGCACAGAGCAAUCUGUGUGACUGCGUACCUUUUGUAUAAUGGGUCAGCGACUUAUAUUCUGUAGCAAGGUUAACCGAAUAGGGGAGCCGAAGGGAAACCGAGUCUUAACUGGGCGUUAAGUUGCAGGGUAUAGACCCGAAACCCGGUGAUCUAGCCAUGGGCAGGUUGAAGGUUGGGUAACACUAACUGGAGGACCGAACCGACUAAUGUUGAAAAAUUAGCGGAUGACUUGUGGCUGGGGGUGAAAGGCCAAUCAAACCGGGAGAUAGCUGGUUCUCCCCGAAAGCUAUUUAGGUAGCGCCUCGUGAAUUCAUCUCCGGGGGUAGAGCACUGUUUCGGCAAGGGGGUCAUCCCGACUUACCAACCCGAUGCAAACUGCGAAUACCGGAGAAUGUUAUCACGGGAGACACACGGCGGGUGCUAACGUCCGUCGUGAAGAGGGAAACAACCCAGACCGCCAGCUAAGGUCCCAAAGUCAUGGUUAAGUGGGAAACGAUGUGGGAAGGCCCAGACAGCCAGGAUGUUGGCUUAGAAGCAGCCAUCAUUUAAAGAAAGCGUAAUAGCUCACUGGUCGAGUCGGCCUGCGCGGAAGAUGUAACGGGGCUAAACCAUGCACCGAAGCUGCGGCAGCGACACUGUGUGUUGUUGGGUAGGGGAGCGUUCUGUAAGCCUGUGAAGGUGUGCUGUGAGGCAUGCUGGAGGUAUCAGAAGUGCGAAUGCUGACAUAAGUAACGAUAAAGCGGGUGAAAAGCCCGCUCGCCGGAAGACCAAGGGUUCCUGUCCAACGUUAAUCGGGGCAGGGUGAGUCGACCCCUAAGGCGAGGCCGAAAGGCGUAGUCGAUGGGAAACAGGUUAAUAUUCCUGUACUUGGUGUUACUGCGAAGGGGGGACGGAGAAGGCUAUGUUGGCCGGGCGACGGUUGUCCCGGUUUAAGCGUGUAGGCUGGUUUUCCAGGCAAAUCCGGAAAAUCAAGGCUGAGGCGUGAUGACGAGGCACUACGGUGCUGAAGCAACAAAUGCCCUGCUUCCAGGAAAAGCCUCUAAGCAUCAGGUAACAUCAAAUCGUACCCCAAACCGACACAGGUGGUCAGGUAGAGAAUACCAAGGCGCUUGAGAGAACUCGGGUGAAGGAACUAGGCAAAAUGGUGCCGUAACUUCGGGAGAAGGCACGCUGAUAUGUAGGUGAAGUCCCUCGCGGAUGGAGCUGAAAUCAGUCGAAGAUACCAGCUGGCUGCAACUGUUUAUUAAAAACACAGCACUGUGCAAACACGAAAGUGGACGUAUACGGUGUGACGCCUGCCCGGUGCCGGAAGGUUAAUUGAUGGGGUCAGCGCAAGCGAAGCUCUUGAUCGAAGCCCCGGUAAACGGCGGCCGUAACUAUAACGGUCCUAAGGUAGCGAAAUUCCUUGUCGGGUAAGUUCCGACCUGCACGAAUGGCGUAAUGAUGGCCAGGCUGUCUCCACCCGAGACUCAGUGAAAUUGAACUCGCUGUGAAGAUGCAGUGUACCCGCGGCAAGACGGAAAGACCCCGUGAACCUUUACUAUAGCUUGACACUGAACAUUGAGCCUUGAUGUGUAGGAUAGGUGGGAGGCUUUGAAGUGUGGACGCCAGUCUGCAUGGAGCCGACCUUGAAAUACCACCCUUUAAUGUUUGAUGUUCUAACGUGGACCCGUGAUCCGGGUUGCGGACAGUGUCUGGUGGGUAGUUUGACUGGGGCGGUCUCCUCCUAAAGAGUAACGGAGGAGCACGAAGGUUGGCUAAUCCUGGUCGGACAUCAGGAGGUUAGUGCAAUGGCAUAAGCCAGCUUGACUGCGAGCGUGACGGCGCGAGCAGGUGCGAAAGCAGGUCAUAGUGAUCCGGUGGUUCUGAAUGGAAGGGCCAUCGCUCAACGGAUAAAAGGUACUCCGGGGAUAACAGGCUGAUACCGCCCAAGAGUUCAUAUCGACGGCGGUGUUUGGCACCUCGAUGUCGGCUCAUCACAUCCUGGGGCUGAAGUAGGUCCCAAGGGUAUGGCUGUUCGCCAUUUAAAGUGGUACGCGAGCUGGGUUUAGAACGUCGUGAGACAGUUCGGUCCCUAUCUGCCGUGGGCGCUGGAGAACUGAGGGGGGCUGCUCCUAGUACGAGAGGACCGGAGUGGACGCAUCACUGGUGUUCGGGUUGUCAUGCCAAUGGCACUGCCCGGUAGCUAAAUGCGGAAGAGAUAAGUGCUGAAAGCAUCUAAGCACGAAACUUGCCCCGAGAUGAGUUCUCCCUGACCCUUUAAGGGUCCUGAAGGAACGUUGAAGACGACGACGUUGAUAGGCCGGGUGUGUAAGCGCAGCGAUGCGUUGAGCUAACCGGUACUAAUGAACCGUGAGGCUUAACCUU
rnacentral:rRNA from 1 species